rnacentral:rRNA from 1 species
GAUGAACGCUAGCUACAGGCUUAACACAUGCAAGUCGAGGGGAAACGGCAUCGAAAGCUUGCUUUUGAUGGGCGUCGACCGGCGCACGGGUGAGUAACGCGUAUCCAACCUGCCCAUCACUUGGGAAUAACCUUGCGAAAGUAAGACUAAUGCCCAAUGACAUCCCACGAAGGCAUCCGAAUGGGAUUAAAGAUUUAUCGGUGAUGGAUGGGGAUGCGUCUGAUUAGCUUGUUGGCGGGGUGACGGCCCACCAAGGCAACGAUCAGUAGGGGUUCUGAGAGGAAGGUCCCCCACAUUGGAACUGAGACACAGUCCAAACUCCUACGGGAGGCAGCAGUGAGGAAUAUUGGUCAAUGGGCGAGAGCCUGAACCAGCCAAGUAGCGUGCAGGAGGACGGCCCUAUGGGUUGUAAACUGCUUUUAUAAGGGAAUAAAGUGGGUCACGUGUGACUUUUUGCAUGUACCUUAUGAAUAAGGACCGGCUAAUUCCGUG